CAUCUCAGCAACCAAUUGAACU
rnacentral:miRNA from 1 species